GGACUACCAGGGUAUCUAAUCCUGUUUGCUCCCCACGCUUUCGCGUCUCAGCGUCAGUCACCGUCCAGAAGGCCGCCUUCGCCACCGGUGUUCUUCCAGAUAUCUACGCAUUUCACCGCUACACCUGGAAUUCCACCUUCCUCUCCGGGACUCUAGUCUCGCAGUUUCCAUCGCACUUCCCGGGGUGAGCCCGGGGCUUUCACGACAGACAUACGAGACCGCCUACACGCCCUUUACGCCCAGUAAUUCCGAGCAACGCUUGCACCCUCCGUAUUACCGCGGCUGCUGGCAC
rnacentral:rRNA from 1 species